GAUGAACGCUGGCGGCGUGCCUAAUACAUGCAAGUCGAGCGAACCGACGGGGAGCUUUCUCCUAUGAUGUUAUCGGCGGACGGAUGAGUAACACGUGGUUAACCUACCUAUAAGACUGGGAUAACUUCGGGAAACCGGAGCUAAUACCGGAUAAUAUUUUGAACCUCAUGGUUCCAGAGUGGAAGAAGCUCUUUCUUUCACUUAUAGAUGGACCCGCGCUGAAUUAGCUAGUUGGUAAGGUAACGGCUUACCAAGGCAACGAUGCAUAGCCGACCUGAGAGGGUGAUCGGCCACACGGGAACUGAGACACGGCCCAGACUCCGACGGGAGGCAGCAGUAGGGAAUCUUCCGCAAUGGGCGAAAGCCGGACGGAGCAACGCCGCGUGAGUGAUGAAGGUCUUCGGAUCGUAAAACUCUGUUAUUAGGGAAGAACAAAUGUGUAAGUAACUGUGCACAUCUUGACGGUACCUAAUCAGAAAGCCACGGCUAACUACGUG
rnacentral:rRNA from 1 species